rnacentral:lncRNA from 1 species
GCUCCCCACCGCGAUGACCGCCCACAUCCUCAUGCUGUUGCUCCUCACCUCUGCUCUAGGGGACUCGGCCUCCGCAGGCAGGUGAGAAAGGCCAGUAGCGGGAGGGAAGGAGACCACGAGGGGUGUGCGCCCUCUUCCAGUCGGCUUUCCUCUUCCGCGGGCUGGGUAGGCGAUCUGUAAGCGCGCCCCGCUUACUCUCGGAGUUGUGGGUGCCCCUCUGCACACCAUAUCUGAAGUGGGUUCUGCUUGAGCCCGCUCUUCUACGCUCCCUCCUCAGGCGGCUCUGGCACCUGGUACCCCAGCACCGCGGCCGCCUCUGCUCCCUGGGCACAUGUCAGACGCACCGCCUGCCGGAGAUUAUAUACUGGCUGCGCUCUGCCUCCACCAAGGAGUCCUCGGGGAAGGCUGGCCGCAAGCCCCAGGACCCGCAUAGCUAUGGGCGCCGCCGGCGCGAGGCAGGAGCCCUGCUUCAUCCCCAGGACCCAGGCCGUCAGCAAGGGGGCCAGGACAGUGCCCAGCUUAUGGGGUGACCUCAGCACUUCUCUGCUCCUGCCCUGGCUUCAGUGUGUCCGCCUGUGUAGGAAGGCUACUAUCCCCAAGUUUCUUCUCCCCUUGGGGUCGUCUUCCCCAGCCUCUCUCCAGACUGCGACCGGGCUGUACCCAGAACCAGCCUGGACAGAACACUAACGUCCAGAGCUUAAUAAACCAAAGAGUUUCAUGUUUGUC